rnacentral:lncRNA from 13 species
GUCCAAAAGUGUGACCAGUUCCAGCAGCAGUGACAGCUCAGCCAGCGACUCCUCCUCUGACAGCCAGGACUCCUCUACCUCCUCCGAGGACAGUGACAGUGAGGACAGCUCCUCCUCCUCCUCCUCCUUCUCCUCCUCCUCCCCCUCCUCCAGCAGCUCUUCCUCCUCCUCCAACUUCGACUCGGAUCCGAGCUCCUCCAGCAGCAGCAGCAGCAGCAACAGCUGCUCUGAGGAAGGAUGAGCCCCCAAAGAAGAAGAAGAAAUAGCUGGGGAGCUGCAGGACUGGUGUGGAGUGGGGGACAAGCCCCUCCCAGGGGCUGGAGCACACGGCUGCCAAACAUUCAAUGGUCAACAUUUCUACUGCUCACACUUUCCAAGUGUUUUGCCUAGUUGUUCCUAGGACAUGGAAGGUAUUAAAUGGCUUCCUGAGACUUACUGAGAGAGUAUUUUUGUGCUUUAUCCUUUUAUGGAAGAUUUUACUUUUUUAGUUCCAAGAAAAAUUUUUUAAAAAUCUAUCAUCAGAUUCGUUGAUAUGAGCUAAAGUCCAGUAACCUGGAUGUUUACAUGCUGGAAAGCAAAAGCUUUUUAUUGCAGGUUAUGCUGUGCAUCAGGUGCUGUUCCUCUGUUAAUGACAGCUUCACUUCCAUUGAGAAAAUCCUCUCCAACUGUUAAAAGCAGAAGUUUUUCAGCGCUGCUGUGGAGCUGGGGCAUUGUUGAAGCUGAAUGCACAACGUGUCCCACACAGAGCCUCCCAUCUCAUCAGCUGGUGACAAAUUGGAUUCUGUGCUGCUGAGCUUGUGUUCCAAUGGCUUUUCCUGAUGCUUCCAGGUCCAGUCGUUUCAGCUGGAGUUGCCCUGGCAUUGCCUCCCAGAGGGGCAGGAUUGCUCCCCAGGAAGUUCUCCAGCCAGAAGUCCCUCUGGAUCCGGAUUAUUUUUUAAAAAAACCUGGCCAGAGCCGCAGCCUCCUUCAUGUGCCGCUGCCUCACUCGCUGCUGCCGUGCUGGCUCAGGAAUGUGAUCAAAGCCCGGCUAAGCAGGAAUUGUUCCGGGCCUGCUCUGUUUAAUCGCUGCCGCCGCGAGCAAAGCUGCCCCUGCUCCUUGAGGGGAGCGCUAGCUGCAGCCCGGCAGGAAAAGAGCCCAGGAAAAGCCGUGCACUUUGCAGGAGAAGCGCUGGGAGCAGAGGGGAGAGCGGGAAAAGGGAGCGAGAGCAGCUGGGCGGGCGGGGCGGCAUCAGCACUGAUCCCUCCGCGGGCAGGAGCGCAUCACAAAUAGUCCCUCCGGCAGAUCACUCUGCGGGCGGGCGCCAUCACCGCUAAUACAAGUAUUUAUAAAUUCAAAAGAACUCAUUAACACAGAAGAAAGCAAGUAUGCUUCAUGCUGGGUGGGAAACAUAGGGUCUAAGGGAUAAGAAUUUUAAAGUUUUUUUUUUUUUUUUUUUUUUUUUUUUAUGAGAGAACUACAUACCCCAUGGCACCCACAGAGUUCAGGACGGGUAGAGAGGAUGAAACAAACUUUAAAGAGAACCUUAACUGAAUUAGUAAUUGAAACUCAAAUGUCAUGGGGUAUGUAGUUCUCUCAUAAAAUUAAAAAAAAAUUAAUAUAA